UUCAAAGCGAAUCUGCUUUCAGGGCCUAGUGGGAGGUUCCUGGGUCCCGCACCAAUUGCACAGCGCAUGCGCAGCGCACCCUCAGCAGAACAGGGUCAGUGCUGUAAAGCUCGGGUUUGGGGCAUCAGGGCGACCUGGAGGAUGACAGAGGGCCCUGCUAGUUGCCUGUGACUGCCCAGCACAGCGGCAGCUAAGCCCCAUCCGGUUGUUCGGUUUUCUGGAGCUGAUACUCGGGCGGCGGCGGCGGCAGCAGUGGCUGGUCCAGCUGAAGGGCCAUCAGCGGUGGAACCAAGGCGACACAGGGUCCAGUUAAGCCCCGCGCCCACGACCACUGACCUUCCCUGACCAGCCGGGCGGCAAGCAGCUGCGGUUCUGCGGAGCCUUUCGCUGCACGGAAGCCACUUCAGAACUCGGCUUCCGGCCAGUCAGGAGAGACUCACCUCCAUCUUGAUUUCAGACUCCAGAGAUCGGACAGACUGAGCUGAAUUGAGGCGAAGAAUUCCCAUCUUGGGGCCCAAAGGGAAAUAGGAAAGUUGACUCGUCAGAGGAGACAUUAUUUGCCUUCCAGUCGCUAUGUUCAUUGGUCAGCUGACAUCUUGACCAUGACAUUCUGAAAGGCUGAAUAGUUCCAGGGACCCUGUUGACUGGCCUGCAGGUCCGGCACUCUGGCACCCAACAUAGUGCCCCCAUGGAUCCAUCAACGGGGAAGGAGGCCGUAGGGAAAAAAAAGGAAGAGCUCUUCAUGUGCAGCUCCUGGAGCGGAUUAAUUCAAGGCAUGUUUGACCCGCCAGUGCUAGGCCAGAGGAAAAUCUCCAUGGCAACAAUGUCUCAGAAGGUAUUGGAGCCAGACAAAGGCGGCCGCCAAGGCAAAGGCUUCAAAGCAACAGGUUCUUGAAGAUAUCAGGAAAAUCAAAGCUUUAGAAUUGGAAGAAUCCAAGAAGUAUGCCACAGCAAGUGAUCUGGCAUGGUAAACAACGAAUUCUCACCUGAAGAACUUGGGAAGGUGGAGAAGCAUCUUAAAAAAUGCUCAACUUCAUUAGUCAUUAGGGAAAUGCAAAUCAAAACAACGCUGAGAUUUCAUCUUACACCAGUCAGAAUGGCUAAGUUUAAAAAUUCAAGAGACAGCAGGUGUUGUAGAGGGUGUGGAGAAAGAGGAACACUCCUCCACUGCUGGUGGAGUUGCAAAUUGGUACAACCACUCUGGAAAUCAGUUAGUACUUUUAACCGCUGAGCCAUCUCUCCAGCCCAGAUUAAGAAUUUUCAAGAGCCUAUAGCCCAGUGGUUCUAAACUUACAUAUCAUAAGACCACUGAAAAACACCAAUAUUUACUAUAUAAAUUGAAAGAGGAAUUGCAAACCUUUUCUGAUAGAAUUGAAGGUUUACAUGAAAAAUAUUUCUGUUAGAAUUGGUGGAGUCCAUUGAUGUUAAGAGAUACUAAGGAUUAGUGAUUGUUGCUUCCUGUUAUUUUUGAUGUUAUUUUUAUGUUUGUGUGCAUACCUUCAUUUCGGUUUGUUGGAAGAAGAUUACUUUCUUGCUUUUUCUAGGGUGUAGUUUCCCUCUGUGUGUUGGCAUUUGUGUUUCCAUCUAUUAUCCAUUGUAGGGCUGGAUUUGUGGACAGAUACUGUGUAAAUUUGGUUUUGUCAUGGAAUAUCUUGUUUUCUUCAUCUAUCGUGAUUGAGAGUUUUUCUGGGUAUAGAAGUCUGGGCUGGCAUUUGUGUUCUCUUAGGAUCUGUAUGAGGUCUGCCCAGGAUCUUCUAGCUUUCAUCAUCUCUGGUGAGAAGUCUUGUAUAAUUCUGAUGUGUCUGCCUUUUUAACUUACUUGACCCUUUUUCCCUUACUACUUUUAAUAUUCUUUCUUUUUUGAAUGCAUUGGUCUUUUGAUUAUUAUGUGCUUUGAAGACUUUCUGGUUUGGUCCAGUCCUUUGGAUUUCAGAAAGCUUCUUGUAUGUUCAUGGGCAUCUCUUUCAUUAGGCUAGGAAAAUUUUCUAUAUAAUUUUGUUAAAGAUAUUUAGUGGCCCUUUAAGUUGGAAAUCUUUAUUCUCUUCGAAACCUAUAAUCCGUAGGUUUGGUCUUCUCAUUGUGUCCUGGAUUUCCUGGAUGUUUUGGCUUGCAGGCUUUAUGCAUUUUGCAUUUUCUUUGACUGUUGAGUCAAUGUUUUUUAUCGUAUCUUUAGCACUUGAGAUUCUUUCUUCUAUCUCUUGUAUUAUGUUGUUUAUGCUUACAGCUAUGAUUCCUGAAUUCUUUCCAAGCUAUUCUAUCUUCAGAGAUGUCUCACUCUGUGAUUUCUUUAUUGUUUCUACCUCAACUUUUAGAGCCUGGAUGAUUUUCUUCAAUUCCUUCACUUGAUUGUUUGUGUUUUCCUGUAAUUCUUUAAGGGAUUUUUGUGUUUUCUCUUUAAGGGCUUCUGUCUGUUGACCCAGGAUCUCCUGUGCUUCUUUAAAGUAUUUUUGUGUUUCCUCAUUAAGGGCUUUUGCUUGUGGACAGUUGUUCUCCUGCAUUUCUUUAAGGGAGUUAUUUAAGUCCUUCUUGAAGCCCUCUAUCAACAUCAUGAGAUAGGAUUUUAAAUCCAACUCUUGCUUUUCCAGUGUGGGACUUGCUGUGGUGGGAGAACUGGGUUCUGAUAUUGCCAGGUAGCCUUGGUUUGUGUUGGUAGGGUUCUUGUGCUUGCUUUUCUCCAUCUGGUUAUCUCUGGUGCUAGUUGGUCUUGUUGUCUCUGGAUGGAGCUUGUCCCUUCUGUGGGCCUGUAAGCCUGUGUCCAUACUCCUUGAAGACCAACUCUCUUCUGACAGGGUCUGUGCACAGAAGGUGGUAGAGCUGCCUGGCUCCCUGGUGCCAAUGGUGCCCAGAAGACUUCCAUUCCCAGCUGCUCCACUGAUCGCCUGCCCUGUGAGCUCCUAGCUGGUUCCCUCCAGAGAGGAGCUGGAGAUCUCACCCCAGAAGCUCAGAAGUGAAAACACUGCUGGGAGAUCACUCUCUCUUGGCAGGCUGUGCAUAGAAGGCUGUGGAGUUGCCUGGCUCCCUGGUGCAAAAUCUAGAUUUAAUUUUUUAAAGAAGCCUUUUGGUUGGUCUCAGCAACCGUUGGAGUCUUUUCCUAUUCGACUUCUCUUCUGACGUCCAUGGGUCUGUGGUGCACAGACAUUCAUGUGAGAGCAACACAAACACAGAAAUAAAUCUAAAGGGUUUUAAGUGAGUUCUCCCAAUGACUCCAAUCCUGGUUGAAAGAAGAACCCAUUUGCCUUCAUAAUGCUUAACAAUUUUCUCAAGGUACACACCAACAUAUACCCCUUUUACCACAACUCCUGGAAGACCUUAUGAAUGCCUUCAUCUUACGGAGAAAAAAAAAUAACAUUUUUCCAAUUAUUUUUCACAGAUGGUAAUUCUUAAGUCUGCACUUCAGAUCAGCUCUUCCUUUAAGUGCAAAUCCAUUCAUUUUGUUGUAAUGUUACAUUUUGUUUUAGAAAUUUCCACUUUGGUGUAUGAAUGCAAAAUCCAGAUGUUGCCAAAGACAGGAACCUGUGGACACCCUGUUUCCCCUCCCCCUUAACUCUCACCUCCUCUCAUCAUAUGCACCUGUGAUUCAGUUACGAUUAUAGGCCACAUUUCACUUUCCUCCUUAGGUUUGAGUAUAAUAUUCUUAGUACCAGUUUUCAAGCUUCUUUCUUUCAUUUUUUAAAUAAAAAAUGUUAUAAGAACACAUUCAAUUAAAAAAGAUAAAACAAUAUAUUCUUCAUUUACAUUGCAAAUGCUAGAACCUUUCUCGGUUUCUCCUGUCCCAGAAAACCCCCAACCCCUUCUCCCACCCCCUGCCUCCAAGUAUAUGCCCCUCCACCCUCUACUCCUAGCUUACCACACCCCUCGAUUUCUCUAUAUUGGGGCAUCUAUUGAGCCUUCACAGGACCAGGACCUCUCUUCCCACUGAUGCCGGACAAGGCAUUCCUCUGCUACACUUUUGGCUCUAACCAUGUGUACCACUUGAUUGUUUAGUGUCUGGGUGGCCAACAUCAUUGUUCUUCCCAUAGGGCUACAAACCCCUUCAUCUCCUCCAGUCUGCCCUCCAAGUCCUCCAUUGAGGACCCCAUGCCCAGACCAAUGGUUGGCUGCUAGCAUCUGCCUCUGUAUCUGUAAGGCUCUGGCAGACCCCCUCUGGAGACAACCAUAGCAGCCUCCAUUCCGCAUACACUUCUUGUCGACCAUAAUAGUGCAGGGGUUUGGUUCCUGUUUAUAGGAUGAAUGCCCAGGUAGGGCAUUCUCUGAGUGGCCUUUCCUUCAGUUUCUGUUGCACACUUUGUCUCUGUUAUUGCUCCUGUGCGUAUUUGGUUCUCCUUCUCAGAGGAACCAAAACACCCCUACUUCAGUUCUUUUUUUUUUCUUUUUUUUAAUUGAAUAUAUUCUUCAUUUACAUUUCAACUGUUAUAGUCCUUGCAGGUUUCCCCUUCCCGAUUUCUCCCCUCCUGGAAACUCCCAACCCCUGCUCUUACCCCCUGCCUCCCAGAAUAUGCUCCUCCACCCAACCCACUCCCACAACCCCCAAUUGAUUUCCCCACACUGGGGUCUCUAUUGAGCCUUCACAGGACCAAGGACCUCUCUCCUCCCACUGACACCCAACAAGGCAUUCCUCUGCCACUAUUUUAGCAGGAACCAUGUGUACCCCUUAGUUGAUGGAGCCCUAGGAGCCCUGAGGCAUCUGGAUGGCUGACAUCAUCGUUCUUCCCAUGGGGCUGCUAACCCCUUCAGCUCCUCCAGUCUACCCUUCAACUCCUCCAUUGUGAACCCCAUGCUCAGUCCAAUGGUUGGCUGCUAGUAUUAGCCUCUGUAUCUGUAAGGCUGUGGCAGGGCCCCUCCAAAGGCAACCAUAACAGGCUCCUUUCAGUAUGCACUUGUCAUCCAUAGUACUUUUGGAGUUUGGUGUUUACCAGGUAGAACACUCUGUGGGUGGCCUUUCCUUCUGUCCCUGCUCUACACUUUGUCUCCAUUAUUGCUCCUGUGAGUAUUAGGUUCCUUUUCUCAGACGAACCAAAGCACCCCCACUUCAGUUCUCCUUCUUGAGCUUCCUGUGGUCUGUGAAUUGUAACUUGUUUAUUUUGAGAUUUUUGGACUAACAUCAACUUAUCAGUGAGUGCAUACUAUGUGUACAUACUUUUGUGAUUGGGUUACCUCACUCAGGAUGACACUUUAUAUUUACAUCCAUUUGCCUAAGAAUUUCAUGAUUUCCUUGUUUUUAAUAGCUGAAUAGUACUCCAUUCUGUAGACAUUUUCUGUAUCCAUUACUCUGUUGAAGGACAUCUGGGUUCUUUCCGGCUUCUGGCUAUUAUAAAUAGGCUGCUAUGAACAGAGUGAAGCAUGUGUUCUUAUUAUAUGUUGGAACAUGUUCUGGGUAUAUGCCAGGGGUAGUAUAUCUGGGUCCUCAGGUAGUACUAUGUCUAACUUUUGAUGAACUACCAAAUUGAUUUCCAGAGUGCUUUUACCAGUUUGCAAUUCCACCAGCAAUGGAGGAGUGUUCCUCUUUCUCCACAUCAUCUCCAGCAUCUUCUGUCCCCUGACAGCUAACAUCAGAGAUAACUAAAUUGCAAAAGUCAAAUGGAACAUCAUUACCAACAGAAACCAAGGCAAUAUGGCACCAUCAGAACCCAGUUCUCCCACAACAGCAAAUCCUGAAUACUGCAACACAUCAGAAAAGCAAGAGCUGGGUUUAAAAUCUAUCCUGGCCCAUGGGACAGUCAGCAGAGUCCUGGAUCCACCUAGGGGAAUGGCAAGAGAGAAGACAGACACAAAAGAACUGGAGAGCAAGCCUGAAUCCGAUCAAGCUGUCAAUCUUUAAUUUACACACAAGGCAUUAUAAAGGCAAGCAAGCAGGUGUGGGGAGGGGUGAAGGGGGAAAGUCAUUGUAUUUGAGGAACAACCUCAGGAGGCUAGCAUCGUAUCUCAGGAACAGUUUCUCAGAAUUGUCUCUCAGGGUCUCAGCUAAGAUUUGGCAGGUGCUGUAGGAACUUGGCAUCAUAUUUUGAUCAUGAGGAGGUGAGGUGGAAAGGAGUUGCUAUGGUAACAACCACAGGUGAACUUCCUUUGUUCGAGCCCACUUGGGUGAGCUCUGUACCUACUGACCAUCUAGCUUACUUGGCUAAUCUUUAAACUGGUACAUUUCCUGCUAAAAGCAGCCUAGAGAAAGCAAGCUGGAAAUGGCUGAGAGGAGGGGGUUUUUGAGAUCUCUGUGAGAAUAGCUCCUGGCAAAAACCACAUCUCAUGAUGCUGAUAGAGGACUUCAAGGCCAUAAAUAAGUCCCUUAAAAAAUAUAGGAGAAUAUGGGUCAACAGGUAGAAGCCCCUAAGAAGAAACACAAAAAUACCUUCACACUUCUUUCAAUCCAUGUCUUCAAAGGUGAACUUUCCCCUCCAGGACAAUUACAAUUGCAACGUGUUAGCAUGCCAAAAAAGACCUAGCUCUUGCUAACUCCUCUCAAAGACACCCUGCAAUACCCUCUACCUGCUAUCAUCCUCCAUGCCAAGGAUACACAACUAGUUAUUUUAAACUUCUUUCAUCAGUUCAAAUACUGUUCUCUUGGGACAGGAAGCCGGGACUCCUUACUAGCUAUUAUUCAAAGACCUUCCAGCUUCUGUCUAUGAGUGGACUAUUCUGGUAACACUGAAAAGUAUUACCAAAAUUGGUAUUAAAUUCCACUAUAACUGUGUUUACUAGCAGAGCACAGAUUAAAAGCGUAAAGCAUGCCUGUGAACUCUGCACUGGGAAGGCUUUGGGCAGAGACUGCAUAAGUUAAAGUCCAGCCUGGGCUAUAUAGUCAGCUCCUGGUCAGCCUGGGCUACAUAGUAAAACCCUGUCUCAAACAGAAACAAGUGUGUGAUGGCACAGGCCUGUGAUCCCAGCACUCAGGAGACAGAGGACUACAAGUUACAGGCCAACCUAAGUGUCACAGGGAAUUCCCAGAUAGUGAAACCCUACUUUAAAAAAUAGUUUUAUUCCUAUUACCCUGAAUUCUUUUGCCAUGUUUUUCCACCUCAUCUGUUGAAACCAACAGCUGUUUUCAUGCCUGGGAGCCCAACACAGCCAGUACAGAGAAGACAUUUCCUAAGUGUUAUCUAAGUGAAUGAACUCACCAGGGAGGUCCAAGUUAAUAAAAUCUUUUCUCUUGUAUCAGCCAUGGAGAAACUUAGCACAUUCAUUACACAAAAUAAUGAAUCAGUGAUGCAACCAAGUAGCUUGGAAAUAUAAAUACUGCUCAUAGGAAUUUUAUUUCCCUCCCAGAGUCCAUCAAAUUAAUUAUGAGCACAUAUUUGAUGUGGGGGCAGAGGGCAUGCAGGGAUACCACUAACUGAAACACUCAUUUUUAUUAGACUGUAGUUUUAUUGCAAGGUAGGUUUUCUUUCCCCCACACUAGGCUGAUAUCUGCACUGUCCAAUCUAGUAGCCGCUACCUAUAGAUGGCUAUUGAAGUUUCAGUCCUUUAAAAUGAAAUAGAAUUUGUCAUUCUAUUCUUCUGUAGCCACAUCUCAAGUGCCCCAAAGCCAUACCUGUCUGGUGGCUGUGACGCUGCACAGUACAGACACAGAACACCGUUAGCAGCACUGUCUACACAAUUACAAAGAUGUCCUCAGAAAGCCUGACUUACUUCUUAGCUCCCAGGAUCCUGGUGCUCCUCUGCUGCUUACUGGAUGUGGGUCCCGGGUCUAGCAAAUUGCAAGCACAUGAGUGAGUGCCAGGGACCUUUGUACCUCAUCCCCAAAGAGAUGAAUCCCCCUGUGCCUAGAUGUGAAGCUGUCUACAUUGUAGAGACGGGUUGACAAUAUCAACGCCCAUUCUCAAAACCUUAUUCCUAGGUGGAGGAUCGAAAAGAAAGAUGGAAAAAUAUGCAUAUAUGUAAUAUAUUUUACAGCAACGGGAGGCACUAGGGAUGCUGAAGGAUUAUGAAUAAUUACAAUAUGUUGAGGAACUGAGACCGAGGAUACUAGGAAUAGGCAAUAAAAAUAAAAUG